UUUUAUGGUGGUCAUGCGCAGGGCGUUCUCGGACGCGCCGGGUUGCCAGGUAACCGGUCUACCAACCUUCGUAUGGCCACCACCCUU
rfam:Pseudomonas fluorescens F113, complete genome.